UGUGUAGGCGGUUCUCUAAGUUCGGUGUGAAAUCUCCCGGCUUAACUGGGAGGGUGCGCCGAAAACUGGAGGGCUUGAGUAUGGGAGAGGAAAGCGGAAUUCCUGGUGUAGCGGUGAAAUGCGUAGAUAUCAGGAGGAACACCUGCGGUGUAGACGGCUUUCUGGACCAUCACUGACGCUGAGACACGAAAGCGUGGGUAGCAAACAGGAUUAGAUACCCUGGUAGUCCACGCCCUAAACGAUGCAUACUUGGUGUGAGCCGUUCAUUCGGUUCGUGCCGGAGCUAACGCGUUAAGUAUGCCGCCUGGGGAGUACGGUCGCAAGGCUGAA
rnacentral:rRNA from 1 species